CAUUCUCAAGAGAGAUCUCUCACCCGUUCAAAAGCUGCUAGGGCCGGCUGAAGAGGAAGAAGGCUGCUUGCACCUCACGACCCCUCUUUCCUCUCAAGCUAAAUUUCUCUUUACUCUUGCUGAAGCCGGCCAAGCAAGCUAUAACAGAAUUUGGUUAAGACUUCAACGUACCAACCUUUAUACCAGAGUUUGGCCAUCUAGUUCUAAUGCUUAUUCUCUGCCGUAAAGACCCUCCAGAUGGUAGUUCGGGCUGCAGUUGGAAGAGGCGAGCUACAAGGGGCUUUCGGUGUGAUUUACUACGGUACUGAUGGAGCUGAUUGGAGGAUGAGCCAAGGAGCUUCAAUCACCCCGUUUCUUCUAAACGGGGUGCUACGGCCGGAGUCACCGUCGACUAGCUCCGGUGACCAGGUAAGUUUUCUUGAAACUUAAAAGUGCAUAAAGCUUCUAAAUUUAUCUAUUGAGUUAUUUCCCCUCAGCCUUAAUUUCUUGCAAUAAUUUUUGUAUUUAGUUAAUACAUGCUUUCAUUUUUCAUUUACAAAUUCAAAAUCCAUUGACAUAGGUUGUUUAUAUUUGUAGGUAUGUCCAAAGGGUUAGUGACAUUGAUUCAAACCUGUUAAACCUAGUGACAUCUUUAAGGACAAUAAUUAAGGACAUUUCUAGAGAACUUAGAAAAUUUUUAGAGAUUAGGAGAUAUCUCCUAUUAACUUAAGACUUGAACAAUUUGAACCUAGUGACAUCUUAAACCUUAAAAAAAUUUUAUCUUUUCUUUUAAUCAUUAAACCAAUUAAUUGAUCUAAUUAAAAUUAAAUCCUUAAUUAAGCAAAUCAAAUUUUAAACCCAAGUGACAUCAAAUUUAAACCCCUUAAGUUUAGUGAUCUUCCCUGCUCUAGGGAAAAUUAUCACUAAAAUUCAAACCCUUUGAACCCCUUAAGUUUAAACCUUAAUUAAACUUUAAAACCUUCCAGAAAAUUUCAAUCUAGCUUUAAAACUAGCAAUCAAUCUUAAAAUUAAUUUUGAAUCAUUAAGAUUUAAACUUUAACCAAAAUCUUCCCUUGAGCCUUUCAACCAAUCAGAACAUUAAGCAACUUUAACCAAUUACCCGAUUUAGGAUAUAUCCAAACCACACAGCCUGCUACACACAACUAGAUUGACCCAUUAGGACACGGACUCUAGCUUUAGGUUAGGCCGGUGUUUCUUUUUGUUUUUGAGAUAGAUUGAUAUGCAUAUGAAAUGAGAAUGGCAUCCUAGGUUAGAUAACAUAGACAUAGGUUCACUGUCCACAGACCUGUGCACUUCCUGUUUGUCAGCCUAGGAUUAGGUCCCCAGCCCCUUGGCUUAUGAGGUCCCCUUGAAUGAGGUAACCCAUGGUUGCUAACAAGGAUCCUCUGGUCAGCACUCGACUAAGUAGGCUAAGGAUAUUGACGAACCUGGGACGAUGGAAAACCAUGGGAUCUUGACCAGGGACGUCAUACCCACUUGGUAGGUUA